rnacentral:lncRNA from 1 species
AAAAAAUUAUGAAAAAUUCACCAAAGCUCCUGUAACAUACCCUUAACACACUGGUUAAGUUUCACCCUCUGUUGCACAGUAACUUUGAGGAUAGAAAAAGUUAAGCUCAUUUUACCUUUAAUAAUAAAAUGCAUGUAACUCCUUUUUAAGUCAUCCUUUGGCCCCCAAACUUUUACAGUAACCUAGUGAUGGCUUAAGUGAGGUGCUGUAAUUUUAUCAGUGCUUUUAACUACUGUUUGGAUAUGAAGUCAUUUUGGUUAAUUAAUCAACCUAAAGGAAUAAAAGGAAAGCACAAAUUCUAAUACGAUAAUUAAGUGGAAAUUGAAAGAGGUACAUAAAAACAUUCAGAAGUGAGUAACUAUCCUAAUGCACCCAAACCACCCAAACACGAC